rnacentral:ncRNA from 1 species
GAAAAAGUGUUGAAGAGGAGAAGUAAAAAAAUGAAGCUUUUCAGAGAGAACCAUCACCGGCUGAAAGUGGUUUAAGCCUCUCAUUUUUUGAAAUGCACCUCUGAGUCCUUUAUUGAAAAUAGUAUGUAAAGGCGGUUUCCUUCCGUUACAAGGGAUAAAGUUGGGGAAAAACCAGUAUUUUACCCAAACAGAGUGGAACCGCGCCGAAAGCGUCUCUGUC